rnacentral:rRNA from 1 species
GAUGAACGCUGGCGGCGUGCCUAAUACAUGCAAGUCGAACGCAUUGUGGUUGAAAUGAUAUGAAGAACUUGUUCAGAUUUGAUUUUCAACAUUGCAAUGAGUGGCGAACGGGUGAGUAACACGUGGGAAACCUACCUCUUAGCAGGGGAUAACAUUUGGAAACAAAUGCUAAUACCGUAUAAUAAUUAAAACCGCAUGGUUUUAGUUUAAAAGAUGGUCUUGCUAUCACUAAGAGAUGGUCCCGCGGUGUAUUAGUUAGUUGGUGAGGUAAUGGCUCACCAAGACAAUGAUACAUAGCCGAGUUGAGAGACUGACCGGCCACAAUGGGACUGAGACACGGCCCAUACUCCUACGGGAGGCAGCAGUAGGGAA